GCCAGUGUUGUGUAGUGGUUUGAGCACUGGACUAGGACUCUGGGAGACGAAGGUUCAAAUCCCUGCUCAGGCA